rnacentral:lncRNA from 1 species
CAGCCCCCAUAACCACUACCCGAGAAGGGAGUGGGAACAAGAGAGACCCUAGGGACAUCAGAAGAAUAUAGAAAAAGGGGACUGGAAGAGUCUACAGAGGAGGAGACACCAGUAUUUGUGUUAGAAGCUAUAGUCAAUGAACCGGCUUAAAAGAACAAUUUUUCAACAGACAGAGUAUAACCAAAUCAGGUAUUCACACACAACAACCAACAAAUAGAGUAUAACCAAAUCAGGUAUUCACAUACAAUACCAGAUGCUCACAUACAAAGAGUCAGGUAAUCACAUACAAUACCGAAGAUAAGGACAGAGUUACCCUCCUUCUUCACGACCGGAGAAGAUCGGCCUUCAAACAACAGAGAAACCCUAGGUAUCAAACCCUAGGUUAUUACAAGAAGCAAGGACAGAGUUACCCUCCUUCUUCACGACCGGAGAAGAUCGGCCUUCAAACAAUAGAGAAAACCCUAGGUAUAAAACCCUAGGUGUAACCUUCGAAAUCCUUAAUGGAAAUGUGGUCAGUAAUGUCGGAGAGGCACCCAAAAC